rnacentral:rRNA from 1 species
AACGAACGCUGGCGGCAUGCCUAACACAUGCAAGUCGAACGAGACCUUCGGGUCUAGUGGCGCACGGGUGCGUAACGCGUGGGAACCUGCCCUUAGGUUCGGAAUAACUCCCCGAAAGGGGUGCUAAUACCGGAUAAUGUCUUCGGACCAAAGAUUUAUCGCCUUUGGAUGGGCCCGCGUUGGAUUAGCUAGUUGGUAGGGUAAAAGCCUACCAAGGCGACGAUCCAUAGCUGGUCUGAGAGGAUGAUCAGCCACACUGGGACUGGGACACGUCCCGGACACCUGCGGGAGGCCGCAGUGGGGAAUAUUGGACACUGGGCGAAAGCCUGAGCCAGCAAUGCCGCGUGAGUGAUGAAGGCCUUAGGGUUGUAAAGCUCUUUUACCCGGGAUGAUAAGGACAGUACCGGGAGAAUAAGCUCCGGCUAACUCCGU